rnacentral:misc_RNA from 1 species
CGAAAAUUGUUACUGUCGCGACGUUUUUUACAAGUCAGGAAGAAAGGAUGCAGUCUCUUAAUUGGUAGCAUCUCAUAAAUCACGUGGAUCUUAUAAUAUGAAAUAUGCAUGCCGAAACGACCCGAGCUAAGCGGUGCAUUCGAUGUGCACGAAGGUACAGUUAAGCUGGCUGUUGGAUGUACACAGGUCUCUGCGCGAAACGCGCUGUUCUGCCCGAUUAAGCCGAAUGCAUUGCUGCAAAGUCGCUUCGUGUUAUGCUGCCGCCACCAAGUUGCCGUUCCGUUGUUUGCCGGAAAUGCUGCCUAGAUCCUCCACUAACGUAGGCGUGCACACGCUUCCGACUAUUAUUUCCAGUUAUACUUCCAGCUGUGUUUCCAACUGUGCUUCCAGCUAUGCUUCUUGCUGUGCUUCUUGCUGUGCUUCUGGCUGUACUUCUAGCCGUGUUCCUACUUUGCUUAUUUAAUUCUUCUCGUUGAUGACAAGUCCUUAUCGCAAUAUUAUAGUUUUUCUGGAUAUUGUGCUUCUGGAUGCUAUAUUCACUACAAUGCUGGAAGCUAUGCUUGGUGAGCUUGGUGACUAUAAUGCUUGGUGGCUAUAAUGCUUGGUGGCUACAAUGCUUGGUGAGCUUGGUAACUACAAUGUUUGAUCCAUUAUCUUCAAAUUAGAAUAAAGAUAGUAAUUGGAUUUGGAUUUAAAAUUUCGUUAAACCGAUACACAUUUUUUCACAAAGAAGUGAUUCAAAAAAUUAUUAUCGCAUGAAACUACAAAUCGUUCAACGCUCGCAAUGUCCAAAGCAGGCAACGGAAACAAGAAAAUCAGAAAUUGCCCGCCGCGACUGUUCUAUGCUUAACUACUUUCAUAAGUUUUCAGUGAUUUUCACAUAUAAGAAAUGUAUGAAUAAGUACGUACUCGCAUUUUGAAGUAUUACAGAAUUUUACUAUCUUGUAUUACAAAUAAUGAAGUAUUUAUUACAUAAAUGAAUAAAUACGCAAUCUAAGAUAUUGGUAGACAUUCGUGAAAUAAAAUAUCCUUUAAUCACGGCAUUUAAUUAGUUGCGCAAAAUUUGGAUUUAUAAUUAUUCGUAGGAAAGAAUAUUUUAAUUUUUGUUGCAAUUAAUUUGAGAAAAUAUAACGCGAACGGAGCGAUUUUUAUUGCCGUAAUAGUGCGUAUACGUGUGUUGCUUCGUAGGGCACAAAUAUAAAUGAUCAUUGGCGUUACGUGCUAGUUCGAAAUUUCUUACGAAAAUCCUACCGAAAUUCCUUACGCGUGACGUAGAUGGUUGUUUACAUUUUCACAAUUAAUGAUGUGCGUACGCGCGCUGUCCUCUGUACGCCAGGCUAGAGAUACUUUUCGCUAUCAUCAUUCGCACGAAGGCGUUUAAGCAGAGCAGUCGACAAUCGGUCCGGUAUUAUUACAAGUCGAGUUAUCUCAAAUCGUGAUCGCGGUGAAAAUUAGAAGAUUCUUUCUUACAAGUAAUUAUAAAUUUAUAUUCUUUGCAACUAAUUAACUAUCGCAAUAGAACUCGAAUAAUUUAUUUCGCGGAUAUAUAUUUUCAUAACUUUAGUUUACAUAUUGUAUUCAAUUAUGCAAUAAAUGUUCUAUUAUUUGUAAUAUGAAAGAGUAAAAUUCUGUAACGUAUUAAAAUGCGACUAUAUAUUUAAUCAUAUACGGAAAUCGCGGAAAGUUUAUGAAAAUAGUUAGGUAUAACAUAGUCGCGGUCAAAUUGACGACGCAAUUUUCGAUUUUUCUUUGUUGCUGUUGGCUGUUUCGAAAUUCCUUACGCGUGACGUAGAUGGAUGUUUACGUUUUCGCAACCUAUGAUGUGUACGCGCACUGUCCUCUGUACGCUAUAACUUUUCACUAUCAUUCGCACGGAGACCUUUAAGCAGUGCAGUCGACAAUCGGUCCGGUAUUAUAUUACAAAAAUUGCGUUAUCUCAAAUCGUGAUCGCGGUGAAAAUUAGAAGAUUCUUUCUUACGAGUAAUAAUAAAUUUAUAUUCUUUGCAACUAAUUAACUAUCGCAAUAGAACUCGAAUAAUUUAUUUCGCGGAUAUAUAUUUUCAUAACUUUAGUUUACGUAUUGUAUUCAUUUAUGCAAUAAAUGUUCUAUUAUUUGUAAUAUGAGAGAGUAAAAUUCCGUAACAUCUUAAAAUGCGAUUAUAUAUUUACUCAUACAUGAAAAUCGUGGAAAGUUUAUGAAAAUAAUUAGGGAUAACAUAGUCGCGAUCAAAUUGACAACGCAAUUUCCGAUUUUCCUUUGUCGCUGUUGCCUGUUUCGAAAUUCCUUACGCGUGACGUAGAUGGUUGUUUACGUUUUCGCAACUUCUAAUGUGUACGCGCGCUGUCCUCUGUACGCUAUAACUUUUUACUAUCAUUCGCAUGGAGGCAUUUAAGCAAAGCAGUCGAUAAUCGGUCCGGUAUUAUAUUACAAAUCGCGUUAUCUUAAAUCGUGAUCGCGGUGAAAAUUAGAAGAUUCUUACGAGUAAUUAUAAAUUGAUAUUCUUCGCAACUAAUUAACUAUCGCAAUUAAAAAUUUAAAUAAUUUAUUUUAUGGAUAUAUUUUCAUAACUUUGGCUACUAUUUUAUUCAUUUAUGCAAUAAAUGUUUCAUUAUUUGUAAUAUGAGAGAGUAAAAUUCCGUAACGUCUUAAAAUACGAUUAUAUAUUUACUCAUAUCUGGAAAUCGCGGAAAGUUUAUAAAAAUAGUUAGGUAUAACAGGUCGCGGUCAAAUUGACGACGCAAUUUCCGAUUUUCCUUUGUCGCUGUUGUCUGCUUCGGACAACGUAUUGAACGAUUUGUAACUUCGUGCGAAUAAUUUUUUUGAUUUACUUCUUUGUCAAAAAAUGGCAAAGUGCGCGUCGGGAGUGUAAUUUCGCGAGUGUUGUGCUAUCGAAGCAGCAGCCGUCAAUGGACUGAGAGGAGGAGGCGGCCCAGGGGGCAUUGGGCGACAGCGGAACAACUAUAGAAUCAACGUGUAUAUAUAUAUAAACUACGACUCCGCUGUUGCGCAUCGUGUGUCGGUUCUCUUUUGUCGAUAGUCGGCGACAAUGGCAUCACUCGACGAGGAUUGCAAAUAUAGGAGAAAAAGGAAGACGGUGGCUGAUAACGAACUUUCCACUUUUUUCACCGUUAUUCCGAAAUUCCGUCGACAAUGAAUUUCGAAAAUCAAUCUCGUGGUCUCGAUGCCCUGCUUUUUUCCGCUUCAUCGCUUCAUCGAAGGGAAGAGGUUUUCCAUGUCGACGAAGAAGACUCCAAUGAUGAAGAAUAAGCUGUAGAGCUGAAAAACAAGCAGCAGCCAGCAAAGCUCGCACAGCAUGACGCAUUCGUUUGGAACCGACGAGGACAGAUUGUGGUGAAGAGGCAGUCAAGAUUCUCUCGAGUACGUCCUUCGAAGAACGACGGAAUCUCUUCACUCUGUCGGACUCGAGAAGAUGUGUUCUCGCUGAAGAAAGUAGUUACUACAAUCGCUAGUUACCAUACAUUCGAGCAUCCUUGGACAGCGCUGGGAUGAAGUUACCCUCGUUCGCUCAUAAGGUGACCGCUAUUGGGUUAAUAUCAAUCAGUGUACAAUGUUGAAUCACGUGUAUUUGCCCGCAUAUUGCGCGCACGCUCGUACGUCAGUUGCAUCAGAAACAAGCAAAAGGUAGAACCGGUUGUGUGUCUUACCGACUUUACUGUGAAAUUUUGAGCCUUACACAUGUAGUCAUCAAGACCGGAAGCAACGAUGACUUCUACCGGCGCAGCAUACCUCAAGGCAUUUAUGAAAAUGUCUGGCUCUCUUGGCAAACAAUACAAACGUCCUUUCACGGUAUGUGUAGAAGGCAAUAUAGGAAGUGGCAAAACAACGUUCCUGAGUCAUUUUAAGAAAUUUGACAAUGUUACUGUAUUAGAAGAGCCUGUUGAACUUUGGCGUAAUGUGUCUGGUACAAAUCUACUGGAAUUGAUGUACAACGAUCCAUCUCGUUAUGCUUUCUUGUUUCAAUCUAAUGUACAAUUGAGUAUGCUCCAAUUGCAUACUUGUAAAACACCCUCACCAUACAAAAUUAUGGAGAGAUCUGUCUACAGCACAAUGUGUUUUAUUGAGAAUAUGAAACGCAAUAAUAUAUUGAGUGAUGCUGAAGUUACUGUUUUAGAAGAAUGGUACGACUGGUGUUUAAAAAAUGCCAAUAUAGAAACUAAUUUAAUAGUAUACUUGAGGACAACACCUGAAAUUGUGUACGAGAGAAUGAAACAACGAGGUCGGAAGGAAGAAAACGCUGUUUCGUUGGAAUACCUGAAGCGAAUCCAUCAAAUUCAUGAUGAUUGGCUUUAUCAUCGUACUAUGAAGCCAGUGCCAGCACCGAUUAUAACCAUAAACGGUGAUCGAGAACUUCAUGAAAUGGUGGAAGAAUUCGACAAAUGUAAAAAUAAAAUCUUUAGCAAUGUGAUAGACGAUAGCGAUGUGAAUAAUACGAUGAUCACAGUGCCAACGAAUCACGUACUACCCAAAAUAAAAGCUGGUAUCUCGGAUUGAAAUGUAGAAUUAACAGGUUUAUCACGCUAUAAAACCAGUGAUGACUUACGAAUAUCGAUUGGCAACGGAUAGGCUGAAAUAAUUGAUCGAUAAACAUUUGUUUUCGUUCACACAUGAUAAUCGAAAUAGGAAAUCAUUGUCCAAAUGAUCAAACUAUCAAACGACAUUGACUGCUUUUGUCAAAAAAUACAUUAUCACAAAAGGAGAACCAAACGAGAGUGAAAGUUGUCCACACAACUCAAGUCUUCGAUGCGCUUAAAUUUCGAUAUUUUUACUGUGCAAGAAAUGAUGAAUAAGCUCUUCACAUCAUCAUUCGACAUCGCAUUCAAUGUUAAAUUGGCAUAGCUAUUUGCACUUUAAAAGAGUAAUGUAGAGCCUAAUCGUAAUGCUCGUGCAAUAAGACACGCAUCUAAGAUCGAAGAGUUUGUAUUUAACGCUAAAUACAAACAUAAUGCAACAUGUGAAUGAAAAAGUGAUGUCUACAAGCGCAAUAAGGAAAAAAAACUUUUCUAGUAAAAAGUCGCAGAAUGUCACAGAAUUAAAAGUGACUUUAUAACUUCACGCUUCUAAUAUAAUAAUGCGAGUGUAAUUUUUCACAUUAUAAAAACAAAAUAAUAUAUGCGAUAAUGCUUCGUAAACAAGUCAUAAUUUGUUUAUAGCGUUAUGCGUACGUUUGCCAUUUUUCUUCAGCUAAUAACACGAUAAAACCAGAUUACCUAUAAUUAUGCGAAAUAACUUUUGCUUUGUUAAAAUCAGAUAAGCUGAGUUAUAUCGAUGACAUAACAUUGCUAAAUUGCAAAUUAUUAAUUACAUUUAUAAUUGCAACGUUUAUUCACUAUCAAUUGUUUAACUAUUAACUACUGUGCUUUUGCUUUGCAUUGCGAUACAACGACGCAAAUCAACACUGAGUACAUUAAAGCAACAUCAAUAUAAGGAUACCGAUUAUCAUUCAUUGCUCACGUGACGUGAUUGAGAGCGUUUACCGCACAUUGAAAAUUCCUCUUGCAAGAAAAUCUUUCAAAGAUUACCGAAAGUAUGAAACAGAGACUCGGACCGAACCGGAACCGGAACCAAAAAAAAAAACCAUAAAUUAACCAAUCCAGUUAUGGUUCUGAUAUUAUAAACUUUAUGAAAAUUUGAUUCAAAUUAUAGUUUCGAUUUGAUUAAAAACAAAACGGUUCCGGUUCCGGUUAAUUACGGUUAAUUCCGGUUAAUUCCGGUCUGGUCCUUGAUAUGAAAGUAAAAUCACGUGAGAGAACUGUCGAAGGCAACACUAUACCGUUGUAGCUAAUUAUCCGUCAAUGUCAGUCUGUUCAAAAGUAUUCAUUAUAACUCCUGUAUAAAUAUGUAUAUACUAGUAGUCUACAUAUAUAUAUAUACAUUGUCAUGAUCCAGACACAGAAGACACACUUCUUUUUGUGGAGACAAAUAUCCCGAAUUCUUUUUAAAAUUACAAAAUAUAUAUAUAUUCUAAAUGCUUGAGAAAUUCUGUAAAUGUUUUUAUGGAAUUUAU